UAUCAGCUUAAUGCAUCAUCAAUUAUUCUUAUGACAGGGAUAACUGUUUGGCUUAAAUAAGGUGUUCAUCAUAAACAGAAUAACUGAUGCAUGCCAAGUUUUCCAAACGUACCAUAAAUUUGUGGCCGGCUUUUUCCCCCAAUUCGUUAAUGUAAAAGGAAUCUGUAAAGAGAAUGUAGAGUUAAUAUUUAUACAAUUAAACGAAAAAAAUUGCCAAAUUUAUGUUGAAAAAAUCAGCUUAAUGCAUCAUCAAUUAAUCUUAUGACAGGGAUAACUGUUUGGCUUAAAUAAGGUGUUCAUCACUGUCUAAAGGGGUACCACAGAUGAUACUCAGAUGCUUACCAUUCGAAUCCUUUCCGAUUCUUACAUUUUCUCCACGCUUUGCCACCUGAAAAGAGACAGUUUUUAGCAUAUUUUCAAACGCUUUCGAGCACUCGAAGUACUUUCUAGAGUCAGUCCUUUGAAAAAUCAACAUAAUUGUUCGGUUAUAUGCUUGUCUAUUGGUUUGUCAUCAUAGAAAGUACAUCGGAUUUUGUGCAAUUAAGGAUUUUAUUCACCUUUGAUCAUGGCUAGGAAUACAGGCAGGCCGCCUUUCGAUUUCUGGUGCAAGAGUACAGUAGGUGCGGUGCCACUGAAAACGAACAGAAUGAGGUUAAAACCAAUCCAUGUGCGUAAUUUUACUAUGGCUAAAGAUAUUGAAGCAUCAGUAAAAAAUCCAAUCGACAUUAUUCUUCCGACUGGGGCGGUAUAUGUUUAGCAUCAUAGAAACAAAAACUUCAAUCCAUUUCUGAACGAAACUAACCUUACAUAUUGCUCCAGCAACACGUGGGACAAGCCAGCACAAGACCGGCCGGGUGAAUUCUUCAAAUUUUCUUGGACUACAUUGUAAUCAGUAUCCAAUUGCAGACAAUUUAAGCUACCGCAUGCUUUCUGUAAAUUAAACGAAACAUUCAACAUUCAAUAGUUUUUCCAACAAAUUUGUCGAAAUUUGCUUAGCGGCAUGUGGCAUUUGUAGUCAGAAUUGAAAACCAAUCAACACGUCUGUUCAGACUGGGGCGGUAUUGUUAAAACAU
rnacentral:snoRNA from 1 species